AGACGUAGGGUCCGAGCGUUGUCCGGAGUUACUGGGCGUAAAGCGCGCGCAGGCGGUUGGUUGCGUCGGGUGUGAAAGCCCCCCGCUCAACGGGGGAGGGUCAUUCGAAACGGGCCAACUGGAGGCAGGGAGAGGUCGGUGGAAUUCCCGGUGUAGUGGUGAAAUGCGUAGAUAUCGGGAGGAACACCAGUGGCGAAGGCGGCCGGCUGGACCUGACCUGACGCUGAGGCGCGAAGGCGUGGGGAGCGAACGGGAUUAGAUACCCCGGUAGUCCACGCAGUAAACGAUGUGCACUAGGUGUGGGGGGUGUAGACCCCCUCCGUGCCGGCGCUAACGCAGUAAGUGCACCGCCUGGGGAGUACGGCCGCAAGGCUAAA
rnacentral:rRNA from 1 species